UCUUAGCCGGGACUCUUAAAGCGU
rnacentral:piRNA from 1 species